GUGGGAAGGAAAAAUUGGAGGUAGGGUGAGGGAAGGGGGAGGGUUGAAGGGAAAAUAAUGAAACAGAGGAAAAAAGAGAAUAACAAGUAAAAAGCAAUGCAUGUAAAUACAGAGCAAGCAAGUAGGAAAGCUAGGCAUAGCACAGCAAAAGAGAGCAAAGCAAAGAAGGCAAAGAAUGACAAAAAGCAACCUUGCAGGAAUGGAGGAAUCUGUCCAGAGCUGUGCCCCUGCUUGCCACAGGAGCUGCGCGGGAGGAGAAGAACGUGGGCCAAAAGGAAUGGAGGAAUCUGUCCAGAGCUGUGCCCCUGCUUGCCACAGGAGCUGCGCGGGAGGAGAAGAACGUGGGCCAAAAGGUAAGAGGAGCUCCUUUGGGUUCUGGGCUUGAAGCAAAGCUGAGAAGCCAUGCCCGGGAGGAGGUGUGGGUAGCUACAGGCCACCUUGCUAUCUCCCC
rnacentral:lncRNA from 7 species